rnacentral:misc_RNA from 1 species
GUGAAUCAUCAAAUCUUUGAACGCAAAUUGCACUCUCUGGUAUUCCGGAGAGUAUGCCUGUUUGAGGGUCAGUUUAAAUAAAAAUCGGUGUGGUUGCUGCCUUUCGUGGUGUCGCACCGGAUUUGGAUCGUCUUUCCUUCGGCUAAGUGACCUCUAUUUUUGCAUGAUUUUUUUCGCACGUAUUUAAAUGGUUUUACGUACGUUUGCGAUAUCGCAUACU